rnacentral:rRNA from 1 species
CCUACGGGUGGCAGCAGUGGGGAAUAUUGCACAAUGGGCGCAAGCCUGAUGCAGCCAUGCCGCGUGUGUGAAGAAGGCCUUCGGGUUGUAAAGCACUUUCAGCGGGGAGGAAGGCGUUAAGGUUAAUAACCUUGGCGAUUGACGUUACCCGCAGAAGAAGCACCGGCUAACUCCGUGCCAGCAGCCGCGGUAAUACGGAGGGUGCAAGCGUUAAUCGGAAUUACUGGGCGUAAAGCGCACGCAGGCGGUCUGUCAAGUCGGAUGUGAAAUCCCCGGGCUCAACCUGGGAACUGCAUUCGAAACUGGCAGGCUAGAGUCUUGUAGAGGGGGGUAGAAUUCCAGGUGUAGCGGUGAAAUGCGUAGAGAUCAGGAGGAAUACCGGUGGCGAAGGCGGCCCCCUGGACAAAGACUGACGCUCAGGUGCGAAAGCGUGGGGAGCAAACAGGAUUAGAUACCCGAGUAGUC